AAGGGGAAGAAGCGAUGGAAGCGAUGGAAGCGUGCGCUUCUUGAAAUUAACAGCCCUAUUUCACUUAAAACACCCAAAAGGGUAUUCUGUUCAGCACUAACGCAGUAACGCUAUAGGGUUUUGAAGCAGCAGUCUUUCUUCUUCUUCUACCAGUCUUUCUUCUUCAGUUCUUCUUCUUCAACAUUACAACAAACAAGCUAGGGUUUUUCUUCUUCUUCUUCUUCAACAUUACAACACUCUGUUCAGCACUAACACAGUAAAGCUGUAGGGUUUUGAAGCAGCAUUCUUUCUUCUUCUUCUUCAACCAGUCUUUCUUCUUCAGUUCUUCUUUUUCAACAUUACAACAAACAAGCUAGGGUUUUUCUUCUUCUUCUUCUUC
rnacentral:lncRNA from 1 species